GGAGACGUGGGGGAGUGGUUUAACCCAGCUGACUCGAAAUCAGCCAUACCAGCGAUGGUAUCAAGAGUUCGAAUCUCUUCGUCUCCGCCA
rnacentral:tRNA from 1 species